UCCUGUGUUGGCAAGCGGAUUCUUGACCACUGCACCACCUGAGAAGCCCCUUGACACCAAGAGGGGAAUCCAAAAACAGUGAGCUAGAGAGAGCUCGCAUCUUCCUCUAUCCUUGAUUCCUGACCCUCACCAUUUGGAGAAUUAGAGGGUUUGAAGACCAGAGGAGAGACAGGUGUCAUUUGUUAAUUGAGAUCUUCACUCAACCUUUAUUGUGCACCUACUAUGUGCCAGAUACUCCAUCAGAUGCUGGAGACUGAUGGAUGACUCAGAUUCAGCCCUGGGACACAGAGGCUUUCCAGUGCAGUGAGGGAGCCAGCAUGGUGAUCUGGGCUACAGGAGGGAGAGGCAAGGACGGAGCCCCUGCAUUAGCCAGUAGCAACCAAGAGAGAGGAGCCUCUGCCCCUGCCUAGUAGAUCAGGAGGACGUCACAGAGAGGUGCCACCCCAGUGAGCUCAGAAAUGCAAGAGGACACGUGCCAACUGGAGAAAAGAGAGGAUUUGGUGUGGGGACUCCUCGGGGCGGCAGAGCUGAGCAGGCGUGGGCAGGUUGCCUUCUUCCUAAAGUAAAAGAUGAAAAAGUGCAAGCUGUACCCUGGGUCACUGCCCAGACAGUAGGUUUACAACCUGGGGGGUCUGGAGUGAAGAGUGGGAGGGGAUUGAAAGAGCCCACCCUGUAGAGGAGGAAAAAAAAUCUAAGCUGAACUUCAUCAGCACCUCCGCGAGAUGGAUCGACGCAGGAGAGCUACCUGAGCAAGCUGAUCAGACGCUUGUCUGGGAGGGAGGAAAAGAAGCAGAUGCUGGGGUUCUUGGUGAAGAAGAGGGAUACAUGGCUGCACUGAGGCCAGAGGCAGCGCAUGUCACCUGCACUGAAAACCCCAAAGAAGGAAAGGAAAAGGCCAAGAACAGCGCAUUCCAGCUGGAGUUAAGGCUUGGCUUUGUUUGUGAUGGAACAGGUCUGAGGUUAGAGCUUGGACUGCUGAACCAAGGAGGACCCUCGGGCGCAUGAAUAAAGAGGCUGCCUAGCCAGUGGUCUGCCAGGAACCGAGAGACAGAAUGCUGGGGACAAAUUCCAACUUAAGAGCCUGAGUCAGAGAAACCUGACAUUAUCUCAGCGGGCAGAAGGAGGGAGAAACUUUCAAAUAGGUGUCAGCUGCACCACGGAAAGUUUUGAAGAAGUUUGGCAGGAACCCCCGUUGGCAGUUACAUCUGCAUUCCCGACAUCAGGAAGCCAAGACCACUGUCUCCACCUCUCCACAACUCCUUUGCUCAAGCCACCUGGCUUUUUGGACCUGAAUAGAUUUCUCCUCUCCGUUUGGAAAUCACGUUAUUGCUAUCUACACGUUGUCACCAAAACCAAUUUGUGCAAACUAACAGGCUUAUCAGCGCUGCGGAAAUGAGAUUAAAACUGCUUCCAAUGAAACAGAUAAAAACCAGAUGAAUGAAGCCCUCUAAUAAGACAUUAAAGAUAAUGGCAAGAAUGAUUAACUAGUGUGAUAUAUUGAGCAGUUAUGAGGAGUCGGAUGCCCAGGAUCAGCAAACAAAUAAAGAAUCUACCUUUAAUUCCCUUUAGUCAGUGAGGUAUAAUCACAUCAACAUUAUGAUUUUUUUUUGUUUGUUAUUAUUUAUCUGUGAGAGCAAUAUCACACCUUGCCUCCAAAUUGCUUAGAGCUUAUUAGCAGAGAAAAGAGAGAGAGAGAAAGACAGAGAUUGCUUUGGGGCGGGGGGAGCUUGUCUCAUUUCAGCUCUUUAAGAAUAAAGAGGAAUGCUUAAUACCCUGCCUGCGUUUACACACCGAUUAUGCAGACACGCUCUCAUUUUUGUUUCAUCUCUGAGAGCGGUCUAUUCAGAGCCAGACGGUUUUACAUUAUGUGAUCAGUUCGUCAAUUAUUGCAUUAUCGAGUCACAUCAAGACAACCUGUAAAUUACAUCUUGCUGGGGACGUCGCCGGAGCCACUCUGCUGCCCUGGAGUGCUUCCUUGCAGGGAGCCCUCCUCGUCAUGCUUCAGCUGCGUUUCUCCUCUAGCUCUGUUGGAUUUGAGGUCAUGAAAGAAGGGCAAGGCAGGAGAGGGCAGUCAUUUAUUAUUCAUUUAGAACUUUUCCAGCCCUACUACGUGACAAGCCCAGUGCUAUGCUCCAGGGAGACAGGUGAAUAAGAAUUUGACUCUGCUUUCAAGGAGCCCAUAGCAUGGGGGGAGGGGGGCAGGGAAGGGAAGGAAGACAAUUAAACAAAGGCGAUACCAAGUAAAGGAACCCAUGUGACGAGUGUGUUCUUGGCAGACUCUUUGCGACCCCAUGAACUCUAGCCCACCACCCUCCUCUGUCCAUGGAAUUCUCCAGGCAAGAAUACUUGAGUGGGUAGCCAUUCCCUUCUCUGGGAAAUCUUCCCCACCCACGGAUUGAACAUGGGUAUCUCACAUUGCAGACGGUUUCUUUACUGUCUGAGCCAUCACAAGUGACUCUGUGAUUAACACCGGUUAACAUGAUGGCCCUGGGAUCCAGGUUUCCCACGUGGCACUAGUGGUAAAGAACCCGCCUACCAACGCAAGAGACUUAAGAGAUGCAAGUUUGAU